rnacentral:rRNA from 1 species
AGUGAACGCUGGCGGUAUGCCUAACACAUGCAAGUCGAACGGCAGCACAGUAAGAGCUUGCUCUUACGGGUGGCGAGUGGCGGACGGGUUAGGAAUACAUCGGAAUCUACUUUUUCGUGGGGGAUAACGUAGGGAAACUUACGCUAAUACCGCAUACGACCUACGGGUGAAAGCAGGGGAUCUUCGGACCUUGCGCGAUUGAAUGAGCCGAUGUCGGAUUAGCUAGUUGGCGGGGUAAAGGCCCACCAAGGCGACGAUCCGUAGCUGGUCUGAGAGGAUGAUCAGCCACACUGGAACUGAGACACGGUCCAGACUCCUACGGGAGGCAGCAGUGGGGAAUAUUGGACAAUGGGCGCAAGCCUGAUCCAGCCAUACCGCGUGGGUGAAGAAGGCCUUCGGGUUGUAAAGCCCUUUUGUUGGGAAAGAAAAGCAGCAGGUUAAUACCCCGCUGUUCUGACGGUACCCAAAGAAUAAGCACCGGCUAACUUCGUG